rnacentral:rRNA from 1 species
CCUAACACAUGCAAGUCGGACGGUAGCACAGAGGAGCUUGCUCCUUGGGUGACGAGUGGCGGACGGGUGAGUAAUGUCUGGGGAUCUGCCCGAUAGAGGGGGAUAACCACUGGAAACGGUGGCUAAUACCGCAUAACGUCGCAAGACCAAAGAGGGGGACCUUCGGGCCUCUCACUAUCGGAUGAACCCAGAUGGGAUUAGCUAGUAGGCGGGGUAAUGGCCCACCUAGGCGACGAUCCCUAGCUGGUCUGAGAGGAUGACCAGCCACACUGGAACUGAGACACGGUCCAGACUCCUACGGGAGGCAGCAGUGGGGAAUAUUGCACAAUGGGCGCAAGCCUGAUGCAGCCAUGCCGCGUGUAUGAAGAAGGCCUUCGGGUUGUAAAGUACUUUCAGCGGGGAGGAAGGCGAUGCGGUUAAUAACCGCGUCGAUUGACGUUACCCGCAGAAGAAGCACCGGCUAACUCCGUGCCAGCAGCCGCGGUAAUACGGAGGGUGCAAGCGUUAAUCGGAAUUACUGGGCGUAAAGCGCACGCAGGCGGUCUGUUAAGUCAGAUGUGAAAUCCCCGGGCUUAACCUGGGAACUGCAUUUGAAACUGGCAGGCUUGAGUCUUGUAGAGGGGGGUAGAAUUCCAGGUGUAGCGGUGAAAUGCGUAGAGAUCUGGAGGAAUACCGGUGGCGAAGGCGGCCCCCUGGACAAAGACUGACGCUCAG